ensembl:lncRNA
CUGCAGGAUCAUUUAAGUCUUGGAAUAAUUAAACAUAGCUAUAUCUAUAUAUAACAUAUUUAGAAGAUUUCUCUUGGGUCCAAAAAAAGAAAGCACAUAUAUUGGAUUAUAGUGGUUACUCUCAAGCCAUUUAAUUCCCUCAGUGUGUAUCCAGGGAAGGGAAACUAACGGUAAAGUUUAAUGAACCACAAUUUUGGGAAAUAAAUCAUGAAUAUAAAUAUUGUGCACUGGUAAUUUCCAAAUUACGACUGUGUCAGGCCCCCAAGAUUCAUUUUUAAGUCAAUUGUUUAGAGUCCAGUCCCAGCGACACUGUAAGUUGGGGAAAUGCUGGUUAGAUGUCCAGGUGUCCAGUGGGUUUAUUCUGUCUACAACAAAACUGAAUUACAGUAGAUCAGAAUUCUGGCAAUGUGAGGAAAGAGAGAAAUUAAAAGAAAACUGUCUCAUCUUUUCUUUCCAGAAGUUCAUUUGAGGAAAUGAACUUCAAGUCACGCAAGGAAAUAUUUUGAGAUAAUGAGUUAAUAUCCUUCAAACACUUUGCACAUUUCUUUACUUCUACUCUUUUACUAUUCCUUAGAAAGUCUCUUCCUGGACUCCCGGGAUCUUUCUGCCCCCUGUCUUGCUCUAGGCUGGCUCUUUCUCCAAAAAUCCUCUCUGUCCACAAAUUAUUUUUUCCUUCAAAAUGCAAACAAAGCUCUACUCACUUCAUGAAGGUGAUCUCAUUCGAAGUUAUGAUGUUAGCUAUGGAUUUUUCAUAGAUGUCUACUCUCCAAAGACAGAAACUCCUUUCUAUUACCAAUUUGUCUAGUGCUUUGUUGUUGUUUGUUUUAAAUCACAAAUGGCUGUUGGAUUUUGUCAAAUAUUUUUCUGUGUCUAUUGAGAUGAUCUUGUGAAUUUUGGACUUUAGUCCAUUAUAGAAUGUAUUAUGUUAUUCAAUUUUUGGAUGUUAAGACAACCUUAUAUUCCUGGGAAAUACCACUGGGACAAGGUGUCUCAUACUUUUUGCUGGAUUUAUAGUUUACUAGUGUUUUGCUGGUGAUUUUUGCAUCUAUAUUCAUAAUGGAUAUUGGUCCGUGGUUCUCCUUCUUUGUGAUGUCUUUGCCAGGUUUGUUAUUAAUGUAACACUGGCAUCAUAGGAUAUGAUAAAAACUGUUCCUUCCUCUUCUGUCUUUUGGAGGAGUUUACAAGUAAAUGGCAUUAAUUCUUCCUAAAAUGUUUAGAAUUCACUAGUGAGGCAAUUUGGGUUUUUCUCUAUGGGAAGAUUUAAAAUUAUUAAUUCAGUUUGUUAUAGAUAUAUUUAGAUGUUCCAUUUUUUUCCUGAAUCAGGUUCAGUAGUUUGCAUUUUUCUAUGAUUUUGCCCAUUUCAUCUAAGUUAUUUAAACUGUUGGCAAAUAUUUUUUAUAAUAUUCCCUCAUACUCCUUUUUAUUUAAAAUCAGUAGGGAUGUUUGGUUCCUGAUUCUUGAUUUUGACAACUUGAGUUUUUUCUUGGCCAGUCUAGUUAAGGGAGGUCAAUUUUACUGAUCUUUUUAAAUAGAUUUUUGGUUUCAUUGAUUUUUCCUUAUUGUUUUCUAGCUCUACGUUUGUUUUGCUAAAAUUUUUAUUAUUUCCUACUUGUUUGAGUUUUGUUUGUUUGUUUGAUUUGUUGUUUAAUUUCCACAUAUUUGUGGAUUCCUCAAAUUUUCUUCUGUUGUGGAUUUCUAAUUUAAUCCCAUUACAGUCAGAGAAAAUAAUUUGUAAACUUUUUAACACUCUGGAAUUUACUGCAGCUUGUUUUAUGGCCUACCAUAUGAUCUCUGAGAAUUUUUCAUGUGCCCUUCCAAAAAUUUGUAUUCUGCUCUUGGGAAGAGAGUUUGAUAGUUUUGAGUUUGUUUUAGUUGGUUUGUACUAUUGUUAAAGUCUUUGACCUUCUAUUUAUCUUUUGUUCAGUUGUUUGAUGCACUAAGAAGUAGAGUACUGGUCUCAACUACUACUGUUGAAUUGUCCGUUUCUCCCUUCCAUUCCGAAAAUUUUGCCAAUUUUGUUUGUAUUUUGUGACUCUGUUGCUAGGUACACAUGUAACUGUUACAGCCUCCUUGUGGACUGAGUCUUAUCAUGAUGAAAUGCCCCUAAUUACAUAUUCUGGUUGAAGGUCUCUCUAUUUUGUAUACUAAUAUGGCCAGUCCAGCUUCCUUCAGGAUGCUGUUUUCAUGGUAUAUCUUUUUCUAUCAUUCAUCUUCAACUUAUUUGUCUCUUGUGGACAGCAUAGAGUUGGAUCUUUUCUUUUAUGAAAUCUGAUAAUCUCUGCCCUUUGAUUGCAUUAUUUCUAUUUAAUAUUUUUAUUGUAAUGCUUGUAUUUUUAUCUGCCAUUUAAUUUUUUAUACUUCCUAUGUGUCUCAUAUCUGUUUUGUUCUUGUUUUCCUUUAUAGCUUUCUUUUGUAUUAACUGGAUAUUUUCAAGUGUAAAAUUUUGUUUCUUUUAAUAAUUUUUGUAUUUCUAUAUCUAUUUUUAUUAUUUUCAUAGUGAUUAGUCUAGUGCUGACAAUAUACAUCUUAUCAAAAUUAACUUCAGAUUUAUACAAAAUUAAUUCCAGUGAAAUAAAUUUGACCACAUAUAGCUCUAUUCCUUACUCUCUUUUUGGUGCUAUUAUUUUAUAUACAUUGCAUUAUAAAUGUUACAAACCAAACAAUAUAUUGUUAUAAUUAUUACUUGAUGUAAUGUUAUAUCUUUAAAGGAAUUGAGAGAGGAAAGGAAAGCAUAUACUUACAUAGAUUGUUAUAUUACCCCUCUUUUAUAUCAUGUCUGAUUCUUUUCAUUUCUUUCUGUGGAUAUGAGCUACCAUCUAUUAUCUUUUCCUUACUCUACUGCUGCUUUGUUCCUAUCCACUUUCUCUAUUCUGUUAUUGUCAAAUACAUUAAAUUUCUAUAUGUUACAAAUCCAAUAAUACCAUGAUAUAUGCAUUGUUUUAUUCAAUUGCUCUUAAUUCAGUCUUGAGAAGAAAAAGUUAACAUUUAAUUAUACUGUUUUUAAUAUUUACCCACAUAACUACCCUUAUUAGCCCUCUUCCUUUUUUUCAUAUGGAUUCAAAUUAUUUUCUGGGAGUUCACUCAUGGUGCAGCAGAAACAAAUCCGACUAGGAACCCUGAGGUCAUGGGUUCAAUCCCUGGCCUCACUCUGUGGGUUAAGGAUCCGGCGUUGCUGUGAGCUAUAGUGUAGGUUACAGAUACAGUUCAGAUCUGGUGUUGCUGUGGCUGCAGCGUAGGCCAGCAACUAUAGCUCCAAUGUGACCCUUAGCAUGGGAACCUCCAUAUGCCACGAGUGCAGCCAAAAAAAAAAAUUUUUUUUUUCUGGUAUUCUUCAUUUUUCAAAGAUAAAUUUGCUACUUAAAGAUUCCUGAUUGACUGUUUACUUUUCUUUUUUAAUCUUUAGCCUCUUGAAUAUAUCACCCCACUGCCUAAUGUCCUCCACUGCUUUUGAUAAGAGAUCAACUGUUAAUCUUACUGAGUGUCCCUUGUAUGUGAUGAAGUAUUUUUCUUCUGCUGCGGUCAAAAUAUUGUCUUUCAACAUUUUGUCUCUGACGCAUCAAGGUGUGAACAUCUGUGCUUCUCCUAUUUAGAGUUUACUGAACUUCACUGAUGUUUAAGUUAAUGCUUUUCAUCAAAUUUAGAAAAAUUUUAGACAUAGUUCCCUUGAACAUUUUUUCCUGCCCCUUUCUCUUGCCUCUCUGGGUAGUCCCAUUAUACAUAAAUUGCUAUGCUGAAUGGUGUCCCAUAUUUCUCUGGGACACUGUUCAUUUUCCUUCAUAUUUUCUCUAUUGUCUGCUUAGACUACAUCAUCUUUAUGGCUCUGUCUUCAAGUUCACUGAAUUUUUUCUUCUAGUUCGAAUCUCCUACUAAGACUCUUUAGUUAUUCUUUCAUCUAUGUUAUUGUACUUUUCAAAUCCAGAAUUUCCUUCUGGGACUUUUAAAAUAAUGUGUCUUUCUACUGAUUUUUUGAGACACUGUCCCCAUAAUUUUUCUUUAAUUCCUUAGACUUUAUCUCUUUCAGUUCACUGAAUACAUUUAUAAUGACUGCUUUUAAGUGACUGUCUGCUAAGUCAACCAAAUGGGUCCCUUCAAAAGCAGUCCCUAUACCCUGCCUUUUUCUGUUUAUGGGUCUUUUAUGGGCUGAAUUGUUCCCCUGCUAAAAUUCAUAUGUUGAAGUCCCAACAGCCAGUUACUCAGAAUCUGACUGUAUUUGAAGAGAGCAUCUUUGAAGAAGUAAUUAAGGUAAAAUGAGGUCAAAUGGGUGGCCUGAGUCUAAUAUGACUGAGACUAAAUCUGCCUGCACUUUGAUCGUGGACUUCUAGCCUUCAGCCUUCUUAGAAAAAAUUGCUGUUGUUUAAGCUACCUAGCAUGCCGUACUUUGUUAUGGUGGCCUAGCCAACUAAGAGAGUUGCAUUUUCCUGUUUCUUCACAUGUCUUAUAAUUUUUUGAUGAAAACUGGCCAUUUUUAAUAACAGAUUGCAGCAACUUGCAUAUGACUGCCUCUUUUCUUCCAUGGGCUGAUAUUGUCUUUGUUUUGUUUUCUCAGUUACUUAUUUAUAUAUUUAGUGACUUGAAAUCUACUUCCCCCAUUGCAUGUAGCCUUUUGUUUUAUGUUUUAGUCUAGCUAUCUAGGAAUUUCUCCUGAGACAGCAUAAGCCACUUAUUGGUCAAAGGUUGUACUUCAGUUCUGCUAGCCAGUUAUAUUUUACUCUCUAUCAUUUGACAUGUAUGUGUUUUGCAGGCCGCUAUCACAGUUUUAAAUGGUUUACGUGGUUGCCUCCACCUUAAGUAAGAAAAUAGCAGCUUGGAUUUUCUUCUCCCAGCACACCUGGGAAGGUGCAGUUUUGGUCAUGCACACAGUCUUUGAGACUGCCAGGGGUAGGUUUGCUUUAGUUUGCAAAUCUGCUUUCCUAGGAGUUUUGCCUCUGGGUCAAGGUAGAUUGUUCAGGCAGUAUUUGGUAAAACCCUCAGUGCCAGUGAGGGUUCUGUUCUUUGUUGAUUCACCUGUGGAUGGCUCAGGGGAUGGUUUCAGGUCUGUUUACAUCCAGCUCUGAUUGCUCUUCAAUGAGUGUAGACCAGCACUUGUGCACAACAUUCCUGACCACCAAGAUCUCAGGACAGCUCUUCUUGGUUCUUUCCAUUGUUUCUGUUAAACUUCUGGUUGCUCUGCCAUUUUGCUUGCUGCUGCUUGGAUCAUGGAGCUCCUUCUUAAUUGCUAACAAGAUGUUUAUUGCUUUCGACAGUGUCCUUAGGUAUGGAAUUCUCCAUGUUCUGCUCCUAAUGAAUUCAGCUCCCUUGGGCAGAGCUGUAGAAUUUAUUAUCCUUGAGUCGUACCUCUUGCCCUGGUAGAAGUUCUGCAUAACCACACAGGAGCUAAGGCAGAACACAGUGGCUUGCUUUUGCCAGGGUGACAUCCUGCCUCACCUGCAGGUGGAAUGGCAGAGAUGGCCUCUCUCUUCUUGACUUGCCUUUCCCCACGUGGAACCUUAGGCUUAUAACUGAGCUGGGGUGAGAAUGAUCAGGGAAUUCAUAUUCUCGGUUUGUUAUUCUUGGGAUAGAGUCUCUGUCCUACAAAUGGAGGUUAAGUAGAGGAAAGGAGGACUGGGUUUCUUAGUCACACUUGCCUGGAAUAGAUUUUUGUAAAAUGGGAAGAAAUGAGAGCGCAGGUAGUCUGUUCUUCCCUGGGUGAAACUGUGGCUCCAAACUGGGCGCUGAGGGACGAGGGAGCUUGAUCUUCUUGGUUGCACCUGCCUUGAUCAGAGUACCUGGAACUUGGGGUGGGAGGUGGGGUCAGAGUUCAAAUGCUACAGACUCUUGCCUUAAAUGUU